ensembl:lncRNA
CAGGAAGUUUAGAAGAUUGCAAUAGAGCACCCAGUGCUGUGCCAUAGAUCUGAAGCACAGCAGUGCAAGUGGGAGAGCAGUUUGCAUAGAGUGAUCUCUAUCACACUGCAAACACAAAUGCUCUUUCACUGGCUGAAAGCUUAAGCAGCCAGACCAGCUCCAGUGUGCUUCUGAAUCAUUCCGAAAUCAAGAGUGAGAAUAAACUUGGGCAACUCUAGGAAAAUGAGAAAUUCAGGAGGCAAAAGGAAAUCUUCCCUAGUCAGCUCAGACAGCCAAAGCCACACUACAGCUUGACAAAGUAAUGCAUCUUCCAAGUACAGUCACGUGUGCAAGAUUCUUCUCAUUUAUGUUACUUUGUCACAACGACUUUGGCUGAGGAGUCCUUUUCAGCCCUGCAGCCCCUUCAGACAUAUUUGCUGAAGACAAUUGUAGCAAAAUGUGAAUGUUAGCCCUGUAGCUGUACAUCAUUACACAGAUAUAAAGACAAGACGGUUUUAGAAGAAAACUGAAGUGAAAAAGGUAAAUGUGUUGUGACCUUAGAUCAUAUGCCACUAUUUUCUGAAGUAAUCUUUACCGAAUUCUUCUUUCCAGCUUCUUGUUUCUUGUUUUGUUGAAAGUUGCACACAGCUCACGGCUCCUUCCUUCCUGGGCAGACCACUGGACACAGCCCUUCAUGCCCAGCCUGUCAUGCUCCCAUCACUGCAGAGUGUGUGCCUCCCCGUGUGCUGCAUCCUGGUCUGCAAGCAUCACUGAGAAACAGGAACCAGGAGGAACUGCAGUACCAGAUCUGUUGAGCUUUGUGGUCCCCUCCUGCCUUUAUUUUUCCUGGAAAGGAAACCAGCUGAGACAUAACAAAGAAAAUAACCUACCUCUGGAGUUGCUAUUGAUACCACACUGCAUCUUAAAUGUUUCUCUGCCAGAAAAUUCCUCUGACUUUUGCUAAGAAUAGCCAGCAGAAAGCUGGCAGAGAGUAUCAUUAUUAUUUAAUGACUGUAAAAUAACAGUCUGUUAUAGGUAUGCUUCAGCUUUGCAAACCAUCAAGAAAGACUGGAAUCUGACAAUACAUUGGAGGUAAAUGGCUACUAAGCACCUGAGUGCAUUUUAUUCCACAGAGAGGCUGAAAGUUAAGGAUAGAUACAAAGCAAAGUCUCCUUCCAUAACACAGUUUAGGUAUGGUUGCAAAGGGCACAUGCAUUUCAGCUCUGGUUGAGAUCUGUGUUAAAAUGGCCCCUCAAGGGUAUUUCUCUUUGGUUCUACCUUCUUCAGUUUUUGUAGUACAUCAAAUUCCUCUUCAAUGAACAGAAGGAAAAAGAAGACAUCCAACUGUCCUCCAGGUGAGAACACUUCAUAUUAAUGAUCAGGUUAACUCAGCUACGCCUCCUGAAGCUUCAGUUAGAAAGGGAGGUAAUCUUAGUGGAGAUAACAUCACCUUUCACAUAGCUGUGAUAUUUCUGCGCUGGGUACUAUUAUGCACAAGGCAAUCCAAGUACUUUAAAUACCUUUGAAUUUGUAGGUAUUUGUUGCUAGGGAAUGUGCUCUGGGAUGCACCAGUGGGAAGAACAGCUUGCAAGCUCAGCGCAGCACAGGCAGCUGUGGGACUCACAGCUCAACAGCACUGCAUCAGUCCUGCAUAGCUCCAGAUUUUGGGGUCCAGGGUUUUAAAGCAGCAAUCUUCUGUCCUUUUAAAACAUUCAAGUGGAGACUGCAGAUAGCAUUCAACUUCAUGAAGUGGAUCAGCUUUAAAAAGUGGCAUUGUAAACCAAUACAGUGCAGCCCCAUGUUUAUUGAGUCUCAGUGGUUUACAAAUAAAAUCUGUUUAUAAGCUUUAAAAAAACA